AAGCCAUUGUUGUUCAGCCAAGGAUGACUUGCCGGCAGCUUAAUAUUUUGGUGGUGAGGUGUGUGACGACAAAGCGAGCCCGGCCGGCAAGUUAUCUCUGGCUACACAACUGCUUCU
rnacentral:pre_miRNA from 1 species